GUCGGUUUGUUACACAGACCUAAAGCAGUUUAGUAAAGCAGUCCAGAUUGUUAUCCAUAGAUACCCUUCGUAGUGACCCUUCCUUCAUCGCUUAAAAAUCUGUAACGCAAUCCAUCAAGCCGGAAGGCACAAUAUUUUUGUUAAUAAGGUAAUUUCUAUGUCUGCUAAAAUGACUGGUCUGGUAAAAAUGGUUCAACGCUGAUAAAGGUUUCGGCUUCAUCACUCCUGACGAUGGCUCUAAAAGACGUGUUCGUACACUUCUCUGCUAUCCAGAACGAUGGCUACAAAUCUCUGGAUGAAGGUCAGAAAG
rnacentral:other from 1 species